ACAAGCGGUGGAGCAUGUGGUUUAAUUCGAUGCAACGCGAAGAACCUUACCUACACUUGACAUACAGAGAACUUACCAGAGAUGGUUUGGUGCCUUCGGGAACUCUGAUACAGGUGCUGCAUGGCUGUCGUCAGCUCGUGUUGUGAGAUGUNGGGUUAAGUCCCGCAACGAGCGCAACCCCUAUCCUUAGUNGCUAGCAGGUNAUGCUGAGAACUCUAAGGAGACUGCCGGUGAUAAACCGGAGGAAGGUGGGGACGACGUCAANUCAUCAUGGCCCUUACGUGUAGGGCUACACACGUGCUACAAUGGCGCAUACAGAGUGCUGCGAACUNGCGAGNGUAAGCGAAUCACUUAAAGUGCGUCGUAGUCCGGAUUGGAGUCUGCAACUCGACUCCAUGAAGUCGGAAUCGCUAGUAAUCGCGUAUCAGAAUGACGCGGUGAAUACGUUCCCGGGCCUUGUACACACCGCCCGUCACACCAUGGGAGUGGGUUGCUCCAGAAGUAGAUAGUCUANCCCUCGGGAGG
rnacentral:rRNA from 1 species